UACGGAGGGUGCAAACGUUGUUCGGAAUCAUUGGGCGUAAAGCGCGUGUAGGUGGCUUGGCAAGUCGGUUGUGAAAUCCCGGGGCCCAACCCCGGAACUGCAUUCGAAACUGCCUCGCUAGAGUCCCGGAGAGGAAGGCGGAAUUCCAGGUGUAGCGGUGAAAUGCGUAGAUAUCUGGAGGAACACCGGUGGCGAAGGCGGCAUCCUGGACCAAUAUUGACGCUGAGGAGCGAAAGCCAGGGGAGCAAACGGG
rnacentral:rRNA from 1 species